UACGUAGGGUGCGAGCGUUGUCCGGAAUUACUGGGCGUAAAGAGUUCGUAGGCGGUUUGUCGCGUCGUUCGUGAAAACUUGGGGCUUAACUCCAAGCGUGCGGGCGAUACGGGCAGACUUGAGUACUACAGGGGAGACUGGAAUUCCUGGUGUAGCGGUGAAAUGCGCAGAUAUCAGGAGGAACACCGAUGGCGAAGGCAGGUCUCUGGGCAUUAACUGACGCUGAGGAGCGAAAGCAUGGGGAGCGAACAGG
rnacentral:rRNA from 1 species